CCUACGGGAGGCAGCAGUGGGGAAUCUUGCACAAUGGGCGAAAGCCUGAUGCAGCGACGCCGCGUGCGGGAUGAAGGCCCUAUGGGUUGUAAACCGCUUUCAGCAGGGAAGAGGCCGCAAGGUGACGGUACCUGCAGAAGAAGCCCCGGCUAACUACGUGCCAGCAGCCGCGGUAAUACGUAGGGGGCAAGCGUUAUCCGGAUUCAUUGGGCGUAAAGCGCUCGUAGGCGGCUUGUUAGGUCGGGAGUCAAAUCCCGGGGCUCAACCCCGGCACGCUUCCGAUACCGGCAGGCUUGAGUUUGGUAGGGGAAAGUGGAAUUCCAAGUGUAGCGGUGGAAUGCGCAGAUAUUUGGAAGAACACCAGUGGCGAAGGCGGCUUUCUGGGCCAUAACUGACGCUGAGGAGCGAAAGCUAGGGGAGCAAACAGGAUUAGAUACCCUGGUAGUCCUAGCCGUAAACGAUGGACACUAGGUGUGGAGGGAAUAUUUCUUGCCGUGCCGCUAG
rnacentral:rRNA from 1 species